UGGGGAAUUUUGCGCAAUGGGGGAAACCCUGACGCAGCAACGCCGCGUGGAGGAUGAAAUAUCUUGGUAUGUAAACUCCUUUCGAUGGGGAAGAUUAUGACGGUACCCAUAGAAGAGGCCCCGGCUAACUUCGUGCCAGCAGCCGCGGUAAAACGUAGGGGGCCAGCGUUGCUCGGAAUUACUGGGCGUAAAGGGUCCGUAGGCGGUGUGGCAAGUCGGAAGUGAAAUCUCUGGGCUUAACCCAGAGGCUGCUCCCGAAACUGCCAUGCUAGAGUGCGAGAGAGGCGAGUGGAAUUGCGGGUGUAGCGGUGAAAUGCGUAGAUAUCCGCAGGAACAUCCGAGGCGAAAGCGGCUCGCUGGAUCGCAACUGACGCUGAGAGACGAAAGCUAGGGGAGCAAACAGGAUUAGAUACCCUGGUAGUCCUAGCCCUAAACCAUCAGGACUUGGGGUUUGCCCUGUACGGGGCAAGUCCCGUAGCUAACGCGUUAAGU
rnacentral:rRNA from 1 species